rnacentral:rRNA from 1 species
UACAGAGGGGGCAAGCGUUAUUCGGAAUUAUUGGGCGUAAAGGGCGUGUAGGCGGUCUGCUAAGUCAUGUGUGAAAUCCCUCGGCUUAACCGAGGAACGACGCAUGAAACUGGCAAGCUAGAGUACCAAAGAGGGGGGUGGAAUUCCCGGUGUAGCGGUGAAAUGCGUAGAUAUCGGGAGGAACAUCGGUGGCGAAGGCGGCCCCCUGGUUGGAUACUGACGCUGAGACGCGAAAGCGUGGGGAGCAAACAGG